rnacentral:rRNA from 1 species
UACAGAGGUCUCAAGCGUUGUUCGGAUUCAUUGGGCGUAAAGGGUGCGUAGGCGGCGCGGUAAGUCGGGGUGUGAAAUCUCGGAGCUUAACUCCGAAACUGCAUUCGAUACUGCCGUGCUUGAGGACUGGAGAGGAGACUGGAAUUUACGGUGUAGCGGUGAAAAUGCGUAGAUAUCGUAAGGAAGACCAGUGGCGAAGGCGGGGUCUCUGGACAGUUCCUGACACUGAGACACGAAGGCCCAGGGGGAGCAAAACGGGG